UUUUUUCACCAGGGGUGCAUUUUUGCUGAGAGAUACCCUCACAACCUGAUAUAGAUAAUACUAUCGUAGGGAGAGUGAAUAAAGAUCAGC
rnacentral:ncRNA from 2 species